CUUUUUAUAAAGAGAUUAGAUUAAAAUAAAAAAAAACAAACUGUUAUAUUCACGAGUCAAGGAUUGAGUCACGGGGCGAUGAACUACGAAGCCUUCUUCAAAACCUAUAGCCUUUCCCUUGUUUCGGUUUCUUCCUCUUGACGGACCUAUGAUGACAAAAAAGUAGGACUCAUCGGAGGGAGCCCAAAACCUCAAGACUCGUUAAGAGAGAGUCUCAAACCUCACAGAAAAAUUGAGAUAAUUUUGCUUGAUAUUUUAUUCAUAAUCUGAUCUCCUUAUAAAGAGAUUAUUAUAUGAUUUCAUAUGGAAUUUUUUACUAUUGGGAAUCAAUAUUUUAAGGCCAUAAUUUAAGAUAAUGGCAAUAAGAGUAAUAUUUUAAUUGGGAUAUUUAUUUCCGCUAAUAAUUAGUUGUUGUUACUGGCGAAUUCACCUUUGAUGCUAAUUUAUUUGUUUAUCACCAUUGACUGGAAUUUCUUGUAAAUCAUGUUUUGCAUAAGUCUUGCUCACAAAUGUAUCCAUAACAUCACUUCCCUUCCUAGAGAAAGAGCUUGUCCUCAAGCUCAACAACAGAAUAAGACUAUUAAUCACCCAUAGUCUCUUUGCCUCAUUGCUUACUCUGAAUCAUCUAUCUCCAACCAAAACAGCUUCUUACAUUGAUGUCCAGAUGAAUAUGAUUCAUCACAAUUAUGGUAAAGCAUCUUUGCUCUUCCCUCAACCAUCCCUGGACGGUCAACCAUCCCUGGACGGCUCAAUCUUUUAAUAAAGGGAGACGAAACACAUCCUGAACUGGAAUUCUUAUUAUGCUAGUGACCUGGUUCGCAGUAGCCUUGGUUACAGGCAUAAUUGAUGAAGUAGGUGCUGUUUUUGUAUUGGAUCAUGAAUUUGUCCAAUUUUCUUCACACUGUUGUUUUCUUUCAAUGGCUCUUGCUAGGUUUAUAGUUGCCACCAAGCUCAGGGGAUUUUGCAUCUCUACAUUAAUUCGGAUUGAAUCUGUCAAACCUGUAAUAAAUAAAUCAACUUCUGUUGUUGUAUGAGCUAAAAGGCUCUGAAACUGACGUUGGUACUCUUCCAUUGUCCCUGUUUGCUUCAGAUUAGUCAAUUCGCCCAAAGGAUUGCUACUGAGUGGAGGCCCGAAUCUCAAAUUGCCAUAUUCUUUGAAUGGGUUCCACGAUAGCCGGGGUUUUUCUUGUUCUAAUCUGUAGAACCAGAGUUGGGGUAGAAUAUUUGGGUAGUAAAAUGUAGUUUUUAGUGACUAAAGGGGAUAUUUUCAUUUAUUUUCAUUUAUGUAAUUUUAAGGGUGUGAUGACUUAAGUAUAGUAAUGUUUAGGUAAUUUCAUUGGUGUGAUGCUUCAAGCAUAGUGAUGUCUCCUUCUGCCACACUCCAUUGUGUUGUUAAUGCUCUUUAGGGGGUAUUCAGUAGUUAACUACUAUGGAGCGACAGGUGUAACUAGCUACUGGUAUGGUGAGUCUUUGUCUCGCUACUCCUUGUAGUUUUCCUCCUGUCUACAAGUGAUGUAAGGACUAUCAAUCCUGUUGUAUCGAUUAUAAUAUAUGAAUGAAAGAAGUAGCAUGUUCAUAACA
rnacentral:misc_RNA from 1 species